CUAUGAGUUAUGCACUUCUCUUUUACUUGAACUAUGAGUUAUAAUCUGAACUAGGAAUUCUGGAAUUUGUUUACUCGGGCAUCGCUUUAAAAUGCUAGCUUUAAACCAGUUUGUUUCUUGAACCAGUUUGUUUCUUGAACCAAUUUGUUUACUCGGGCAUCACAAGUUACCUUGGAUCAAAUCUCUUUCCGUGUUCAUAGUUUGUUUCUUGAACCAGUUUUUUACUUGUAGUAAUCCUGAUAACGUACAGAAAGAAGUCCCAAGUGAUCUUGAAGAACUAUACCUUCAACGGCAAAAUCCAAGUAGUUUGUUGUUUCAUCUAGCGAGGUGUCUGUAAGAAGGAAGGGAUAAGGCGUUUGGUUGACCCGGACCGGACGGCAGGACACCGUCGGGGGUUCGCUGCAACGCAUCGACGGCUUCCGCAGCUUCUCAGGCCAAGGGUUUCUUUAUGGAGAACGGAGAACCAACAGAAACAGAUCAGAUGGAACAUAAUGAUGGACGCACACCAUUGACAAACAUCUCAAACACCAUUACUAUAGCUGAUGAAAAUGGAUCGAAAAGGCUUGGUCCAAAUGUCGAUGCUAAGGAACGUAAGAGGCAAAGGGAAAGGGAAAGAUAUGCCGCGAUGACCGUUGAACAAAAAAACGAGAAAAGUAGAAAACGUCGUGAAGCAAGCCAACGAAAUAAAGGACCUCCUAUACAAACAGAGGGAUCUACAGUUAGUCUUUCAGAUGGCUGUAGCACAAUUGAUUUCACAAACUUUGCAACACAAGUUCCAAAUGUGAAUCGAGAUGAUGAUAGCGAUUGGUUGCAUAGGAAUGAGACAUUCAAGUCAGACGAUGUUUUCACAACAAGAGACCUUCUGACACCAGGUUUUUGUCCCGCGAGAAUGGAAUCUCUAUUUGUAGGCUUGUCUCAUAACAAGCCAAAAAAAUCGGUGGCAACCGCAAUAGUUCGAGAAGACUAUAUUUGCACGCAAGGUGAUCUUGCUCUCAUCAAUUUUAUCAAGGAAAUCCCUUGUGAACCAAGGGUAGAAGUCGUUCUUAUUGAUGAUGCCUUUGUUGAAAGGAAGUGGAUGGAGUGUUUAUUUCAGCCGAGCGCAUAUUUAGGUGACGAGGUUAUAGACUGUUACAUAAAUUUGAUAAAAGCUCAAAAGCAUCUAAAGUGCCGAUCUGGAGGUCGCGUUCACAUAGAAAAUGCUUUCCAGUUCAAUUUCCUGAAGCGAGAUGGUGAUCUUGAAAUUAAAACAGAGGAGCUAUAUCCAAUUAAAGACAUGACACACAUAUGUAGCGCUGAAUGAAGGGUGUUACUUUACCUAGACCAUGACAUGGUGUUUAUUCCGAUAAACAUCCGAGAGACGCAUUGGUAUCUUGCUGUGAUCCAUGCAAGAAAUAUGGAGAUACAAGUGCUCGAUUCACUUGGUACUUCACAAGACCGCAAAGACCUCACUGACUCUAUUAAAGGACUGCAAAGACAAAUAGAUAUGAUAUCUCAACGUAAGGAGUUAAAAGACCACAGGUGGCCAGACCUCCAAGUUGCUUCUUGGCCGCUCAGAGAAAUAGACAUGGGAUAUGCAAAGCAGACAGAUAGCUCUUCAUGUGGCCUCUUUCUUUUGAACUAUAUCGAAUACUGGACAGGGGAUGAACUGUCUGACAGUUUUACCCA